rnacentral:rRNA from 1 species
CCACGGGUGGCAGCAGUGGGGAAUAUUGGACAAUGGGCGAAAGCCUGAUCCAGCCAUGCCGCGUGUGUGAAGAAGGCCUUCGGGUUGUAAAGCACUUUCAGUGGGGAAGAAAGCCUUGGGGCUAAUACCCUCGAGGAAGGACAUCACCCACAGAAGAAGCACCGGCUAACUCCGUGCCAGCAGCCGCGGUAAUACGGAGGGUGCGAGCGUUAAUCGGAAUUACUGGGCGUAAAGCGCGCGUAGGCGGUCUGAUAAGCCGGUUGUGAAAGCCCCGGGCUCAACCUGGGAACGGCAUCCGGAACUGUCAGGCUAGAGUGCAGGAGAGGAAGGUAGAAUUCCCGGUGUAGCGGUGAAAUGCGUAGAGAUCGGGAGGAAUACCAGUGGCGAAGGCGGCCUUCUGGACUGACACUGACGCUGAGGUGCGAAAGCGUGGGUAGCAAACAGGAUUAGAUACCCCAGUAGUC